ACCACGCUCUUCCGCUCCUGAAGAUACAUGUUAUGAUUAACCAGACGUGGACUGCACGACUCAGAAAUUAAGGAAUGUCGGGGGACUCUUGAAGAGGGAUCUGAUGAUAAUUUGGAGUGUUCAAAUCAGGUGGUAACAUAAGCCCCUUGCUUCCAGAACAGCAUGGAACGUGCCAAGACGUGUGGCGGGGUGAUAGAAGUCGUUAACCAGAGUCACGAAUGAAUGACACUUGCUGACUUCUCACGCUAACCCUGUGACAUAUUAACAUAAAUCUAAAAUAUUCGAACAUCUGAGCGUGUACUUGUGACAGCUCCCAAACAUUCACAUCCAGGAAGGGCAUUUGCAGCUUUUGAGUGUGUGUGCGGUGCAAAGGGGAUGCUGACCUCCACCCACACUCCAUCUGGCUGC